rnacentral:rRNA from 1 species
UGGGGAAUAUUGCACAAUGGGGGAAACCCUGAUGCAGCGACGCCGCGUGAACGAAGAAGGUAUUCGUAUCGUAAAGUUCUGUCCUAUGGGAAGAUAAUGACAGUACCAUAGAAGAAAGCUCCGGCUAAAUACGUGCCAGCAGCCGCGGUAAUACGUAUGGAGCGAGCGUUGUCCGGAAUUAUUGGGCGUAAAGGGUACGCAGGCGGUUUAAUAAGUCGAAUGUUAAAGAUCGGGGCUCAACCCCGCAAAGCAUUGGAAACUGAUAAACUUGAGUAGUGGAAAGGAAAGUGGAAUUCCUAGUGUAGUGGUGAAAUACGUAGAUAUUAGGAGGAAUACCAGUAGCGAAGGCGACUUUCUGGACACAAACUGACGCUGAGGUACGAAAGCGUGGGGGGCAAACAGG